ensembl:lincRNA
GAUAUUUGCAGUUUCUACCUUUUGAUCCUUGUGAACAUUGUUUGGGCUGGGGGCUAGGGUUAGGGUCUUAGAUCGGGGUCAUCGCUAGACAUGAGACAAAGUUGAGGUUAGAGUGUGGGUCUGCGUUAGGGCCAGGGUCAUGUUCGGUGCCAUCAUUUGGGUCAGGGACUGUUGUCAUUCCAUAUUGUUUCCAAUUCAUUGUUCCUUAGAUAUUUUUGGAGGAGCUGGGAGGAUACUGGGCUCCAUUCAGCUUGAAUUUCCAGAAUGAAAUGACUUCAGCUGGACCCCGGGAGGGAGCAGGUGCUUCCACUGAAGCGUGAGCUCCGCUAGUCCUGCACUGCCCUCCACCACCUGAAGAGGGCGCCCGACCCCAGGUCCCGCCCUGAGUCUGGCCUGCGCAGGCGCAGCUGGGACAGGAGCCCGGCCUCCUCAGGACUGGCUGUCGAGGUUUCUGGAGAACGUGGGGCCGCUCCCAUACAGACGGGACCUGCUGUGGCGGCUUUGAGGAGUUGUGGGUCCGGUUCCACACCAACAGGAGCCUGGUCUCCUCAGGACCUACUGUCGAGGCUUCCGGGUGAUGUGGGGCUGCGUCCACACCAACAGGACCCGCUGUGGAGGACGUGCGGCCGUGUCCACACCGACAGGACCCGCUGUAGAGGACAUGAGGUCGCGUCCACACCGACAGGACCCGCUGUAGAGGACAUGAGGUCGCGUCCACACCGACGGGACACAUUGUGGAGGAUGUGGGGUCUUGUCCACACUAACAUGACCUGCUGCUGUAGAGGACAUGGGGCCGCGUCCACACUGACAGGACCCACUGUGGAGGAGGUGGGGCCGCGUCCACACCGACAGGACUCCGGCGUUCUCAGGACCCGCCGCGGGAGGAGAAGGAGGAAAUCUGUCUCUUGAAUUCCCAAGGGCUGAGAAGAAAGCGAAUUGCCAUGUGCUGAUUCACC